GAGAGGAUGAUUCCUCAACGAAAAAACCUCGCCGCGCCGGAUUUCAUCACCGGCAGCGGCGACUCGAAGCGGCGGAUGACUCACAACACCUAUUUCCACCUCCAACACUCUCUUAUCUAAACGCAACAGUUCAAACGGCGAAUUAGAAUCUUACCGGUAAUGGCGACAACAGACUUGCUCCUCCGAUAACUGCCUUCACGCUCCGAUCCUCUCCUCACCAUAAUGAGAUGUCACGAUCCUUCGACGCAGUGGAUCAAUCAAGAAUGAAAGACAAAACGGUUUCGUGUAGCUGGCGGAUGCGACGGGAACGGCGGCGGCGAACUUCAGAUCUAAACUCGAAUUCGAAACCUCAUCUUCUUCACUUGUGAUUUUCAUUGCCGUUUUGCUCUCUUUUUUGUUUUGGCUUAGCAACUUGGAGUUCGUUUGUAGUUGUGCGGUUGUAUAUGCUUCGCGUGGCUGUGUUUUUGAAUUGGCUUAUUUGGUAGUUUAUGCUCGCGGCUCACAUUAGUUGGUUUCACGUUGCAGCUGCGUUUGGUUGCAACUUUGGUGUUGGCUCCAGGAAUGGCUUUGCAUCUUGAGUUGUUACGGAUUGUGACUUCAUUUCAUUGCAAUGUGUUUUGCAUUGUAACUGCUUGUGCGUGCUUCUUUUGUGCAGCGGCUGGCUUGGAGUUGCAUUUCCACUGCGUUUCCAAUUCAAUUUCGACUUCAACUUGCUUUCACUCGUCGUAUUGGAUGUUAUGUACACUUCAUUUAGUUGCGGUUUCAUAUGCAUUUUGUCGUUAGCAACUUAUUUCACGUGAGGUUUUGCUUUGGCUUUCAAGCUGCUUUUAACAGACGCGCGUUGCAGCAGCUAUUGGCUUGGUGAAGGUCAUUCGUUGGUGCUGCGGUACGCCCUUGCGUUUUCGGCUAGUAACUUAGCGGUUUGUUGGAAGUGGCUACUUGCACGUUAUGGCUUUGUGCAGCUUGUAGCGUUGUUGGCCCAGAUGCUUUUUAAAGUUGGUUGCGGCUUGGCACAGAUUCAUUUAAGGUUCUUCUUCAAUUGCAUUGUAAUGUAACAGUCUUUUAUGCAUUUCACUUUUGUACGUUGCCAACUCACUAUCACAUGAACUUGCUUUAUUUGACUUGGACUCUGUAUGUAUUUGAUUAAUUGGUUAAUGGAUAAACUAAAGGGAUUUGGUUGGGAUAAUUAAAAUGGGAUUGGAUAAAAUGAAUUGGAU
rnacentral:lncRNA from 1 species